rnacentral:rRNA from 1 species
AUGUCCUCCCUCUUCAUACUCAUGGCUUGGCAAAUUUGAAACGACAGAAAUGCUCGUGUCUUACGUGAUAUCUCCUCCAUGGCUACUGCGGUCUUCGCCAAGGUAAAGCAAGAGGCUUCCUAUUGGAUUCUAGCUGGCAUGAAACAUUUCAGAUAUUUGAUGCUGCAGUAG